rnacentral:rRNA from 1 species
AUUGAACGCUGGCGGCAGGCCUAACACAUGCAAGUCGAACGAGUGGCGGACGGGUGAGUAAUGUCUGGGAAACUGCCCGCUGGAGGGGGAUAACUACUGGAAACUGUAGCUAAUACCGCAUACCAGCGGCUGUGCCCAGUGGGGAUUAGCUAGUAGGUGGGGUAAUGGCUCACCUAGGCCACGAUCCGUAGCUGGUCUGAGAGGAUGACCAGCCACACUGGAACUGAGACACGGUCCAGACUCCUACGGGAGGCAGCAGUGGGGAAUAUUGCACAAUGGGCGCAAGCCUGAUGCAGCCAUGCCGCGUGUAUGAAGAAGGUCUUCGGGUUGUAAAGUACUUUAAGUUGGGAGGCGUUACUCACAGAAGAAGCACCGGCUAACUCCGUGCCAGCAGCCGCGGUAAUUC